rfam:Bacteroidetes bacterium GWA2_31_9b gwa2_scaffold_19375, whole genome shotgun sequence.
GAUGGUUGGUCUCUCGGUUACGCUUUAUCGGAAGUGUUUCCAAUCCACCCCACGGUGCUACUCUUUCAAGGAGAAGGUACUAAACGGUUGGGGCAAAAAAGGCAGAAAACUCAUUUCGAUGGGAAAUCUGUCAGGA